rnacentral:rRNA from 1 species
CCUACGGGUGGCAGCAGUGGGGAAUUUUUCGCAAUGGGCGCAAGCCUGACGAAGCAACGCCGCGUGGAGGAUGAAGGUCUUCGGAUUGUAAACUCCUGUCGACCGGGACGAAUGCACCCGACCUAAUACGUCGGAGUGUUGACGGUACCGGUGGAGGAAGCCACGGCUAACUCUGUGCCAGCAGCCGCGGUAAUACAGAGGUGGCAAGCGUUGUUCGGAGUUAGCGGGGGCAAAGGGCGCGUAGGCGGGUGAAAGCCCUCGGCUUAACUGAGGAUCUGCACGGGAUACUGCGAGGCUUGAGUUCGGGAGAGGAAAGCGGAAUUCCGGGUGUAGCGGUGAAAUGCGUAGAUAUCCGGAGGAACACCAGUGGCGAAGGCGGCUUUCUGGACCGACACUGACGCUGAGGCGCGAAAGCUAGGGGAGCAAACGGGAUUAGAUACCCUUGUAGUC